CAAGUCGAACGCGAAAGUCCCCUUCGGGGGGCAAGUAGAGUGGCGCACGGGUGAGUAACACGUAGGUAAUCUACCUUUGGAUUGGGAAUAACAACCGGAAACGGUUGCUAAUACCGAAUAAUGCAGCGGCACCUAAUGGUGACAGUUGUUAAAGCGGGGGAUCGCAAGACCUCGCGUCUGAAGAGGAGCCUGCGGCAGAUUAGCUAGUUGGUAAGGUAACGGCUUACCAAGGCUAUGAUCUGUAGCCGGCCUGAGAGGGCGGUCGGCCACACUGACACUGACAUACGGGUCAGACUCCUACGGGAGGCAGCAGUCGGGAAUUUUGGGCAAUGGGCGCAAGCCUGACCCAGCAACGCCGCGUGAAGGAUGAAAUCCUUCGGGAUGUAAACUUCGCAAGAACGGGAAGAAUAAGUAAGAGUUAAUAUCUCUUACGAUGACGGUACUGUUUGUAAGCUCCGGCUAACUCCGUGCCAGCAGCCGCGGUAAUACGGGGGGAGCAAGCGUUGUUCGGAUUUACUGGGCGUAAAGGGCGCGUAGGCGGCCACCGCAAGUCGACUGUGAAAUCUCCGGGCUUAACCCGGAAAGGUCAGCCGAUACUGCGGGGCUAGAGUGCAGAAGGGGCAACUGGAAUUCUCGGUGUAGCGGUGAAAUGCGUAGAUAUCGAGAGGAACACCUGCCGGCGAAGGCGGGUUGCUGGGCUGACACUGACGCUGAGGCGCGAAAGCUAGGGGAGCGAACGGGAUUAGAUACCCCGGUAGUCCUAGCCUUAAACGAUGAAUGCUUGGUGUCUGGGGUUUUAUAGUCCCCGGGUGCCGUCCCUAACGCUUUAACAUUCGGCCUGGGGAGUACGGUCCCAGACUGAA
rnacentral:rRNA from 1 species